rnacentral:rRNA from 1 species
AGUGAACGCUGGCGGUAGGCCUAACACAUGCAAGUCGAACGGCAGCACAGUAAGAUCUUGCUCUUACGGGUGGCGAGUGGCGGACGGGUGAGGAAUACAUCGGAAUCUACUUUUUCGUGGGGGAUAACGUAGGGAAACUUACUCUAAUACCGCAUACGACCUACGGUUGAAAGCAGUGGAUCUUCGCACCUUGCGCGAUUGAAUGAGCCGAUGUCGGAUUAGCUAGUUGGCGGGGUAAAGGCCCACCAAGGCGACGAUCCGUAGCUUGUCUGAGAGGAUGAUCAGCCACACUGGAACUGAGACACGGUCCAGACUCCUACGGGAGGCAGCAGUGGGGAAUAUUGGACAAUGGGCGCAAGCCUGAUCCAGCCAUACCGCGUGGGUGAAGAAGGCCUUCGGGUUGUAAAGCCCUUUUGUUGGGAAAGAAAAGCAGCAGGUUAAUACCCCGCUGUUCUGACGGUACCCAAAGAAUAAGCACCGGCUAACUUCGUG